rnacentral:lncRNA from 1 species
CCUGUUGGCAUGCCACUGAGCCGACUCAGUUUUGAACUGAGUUGACCCAGUCUCUUAAUUUAGUCGGCUCAGUGCUGACUAACCUGACCCAGCUGUCUCAGGCCGAAUAGUAAUGGUUACUAUUCAUGAUCAGUUAGUUGAUCAAAUAUCAGACUUAGUCGAUCUACUGAAGUGAGCCAACUCAAUUCAAAGGUGAGCC